rnacentral:tRNA from 3 species
ACGAGUAUGCCGAAACGUGGUAGCCGGGUAAAUUUUAGGUAUUUAUGGUUUUUAAAAUCUUAAGAGUUCAAAUCUCUUUACUCGUA